rnacentral:rRNA from 1 species
GAUGAACGCUGGCGGCGUGCCUAAUACAUGCAAGUCGAGCGAACAGACGAGGAGCUUGCUCCUCUGAUGUUAGCGGCGGACGGGUGAGUAACACGUGGAUAACCUACCUAUAAGACUGGGAUAACUUCGGGAAACCGGAGCUAAUACCGGAUAACAUGUUGAACCGCAUGGUUCAACAGUGAAAGACGGUCUUGCUGUCACUUAUAGAUGGAUCCGCGCCGCAUUAGCUAGUUGGUAAGGUAACGGCUUACCAAGGCAACGAUGCGUAGCCGACCUGAGAGGGUGAUCGGCCACACUGGAACUGAGACACGGUCCAGACUCCUACGGGAGGCAGCAGUAGGGAAUCUUCCGCAAUGGGCGAAAGCCUGACGGAGCAACGCCGCGUGAGUGAAGAAGGUCUUCGGAUCGUAAAACGCUGUUAUUAGGGAAGAACAAAUGUGUAAGUAACUAUGCACGUCUUGACGGUACCUAAUCAGAAAGCCACGGCUAACUACGU